UACGUAGGGUGCGAGCGUUGGCCGGAAUUACUGGGCGUAUAGAGCUCGUAGGGGGUUGGUCGCGUUGUUCGUGAAAUCUCACGGCUUAACUGUGAGCGUGCGGGCGAUACGUGCAGACUAGAGUGCUGCAGGGGAGACUGGAAUGCCUGGUGUAGCGGUGGAAUGCGCAGAUAUCAGGAGGAGCACCGGUGGCGAAGGCGGGUCUCUGGGCAGUAACUGACGCUGAGGAGCGAAAGCGUGGGGAGCGAACAGG
rnacentral:rRNA from 1 species